AGAGUUUGAUCCUGGCUCAGGAUGAACGCUAGCUACAGGCUUAACACAUGCAAGUCGAGGGGCAGCAUGGUCUUAGCUUGCUAAGGCCGAUGGCGACCGGCGCACGGGUGAGUAACACGUAUCCAACCUGCCGUCUACUCUUGGACAGCCUUCUGAAAGGAAGAUUAAUACAAGAUGGCAUCAUGAGUCCGCAUGUUCACAUGAUUAAAGGUAUUCCGGUAGACGAUGGGGAUGCGUUCCAUUAGAUAGUAGGCGGGGUAACGGCCCACCUAGUCUUCGAUGGAUAGGGGUUCUGAGAGGAAGGUCCCCCACAUUGGAACUGAGACACGGUCCAAACUCCUACGGGAGGCAGCAGUGAGGAAUAUUGGUCAAUGGGCGAGAGCCUGAACCAGCCAAGUAGCGUGAAGGAUGACUGCCCUAUGGGUUGUAAACUUCUUUUAUAAAGGAAUAAAGUCGGGUAUGCAUACCCGUUUGCAUGUACUUUAUGAAUAAGGAUCGGCUAACUCCGUGCCAGCAGCCGCGGUAAUACGGAGGAUCCGAGCGUUAUCCGGAUUUAUUGGGUUUAAAGGGAGCGUAGAUGGGUUGUUAAGUCAGUUGUGAAAGUUUGCGGCUCAACCGUAAAAUUGCAGUUGAUACUGGAUAUCUUGAGUGCAGUUGAGGCAGGCGGAAUUCGUGGUGUAGCGGUGAAAUGCUUAGAUAUCACGAAGAACUCCGAUUGCGAAGGCAGCCUGCUAAGCUGCAACUGACAUUGAGGCUCGAAAGUGUGGGUAUCAAACAGGAUUAGAUACCCUGGUAGUCCACACGGUAAACGAUGAAUACUCGCUGUUUGCGAUAUACAGCAAGCGGCCAAGCGAAAGCGUUAAGUAUUCCACCUGGGGAGUACGCCGGCAACGGUGAAACUCAAAGGAAUUGACGGGGGCCCGCACAAGCGGAGGAACAUGUGGUUUAAUUCGAUGAUACGCGAGGAACCUUACCCGGGCUUAAAUUGCAGAUGAAUUACGGUGAAAGCCGUAAGCCGCAAGGCAUCUGUGAAGGUGCUGCAUGGUUGUCGUCAGCUCGUGCCGUGAGGUGUCGGCUUAAGUGCCAUAACGAGCGCAACCCUUGUUGUCAGUUACUAACAGGUCAUGCUGAGGACUCUGACAAGACUGCCAUCGUAAGAUGUGAGGAAGGUGGGGAUGACGUCAAAUCAGCACGGCCCUUACGUCCGGGGCUACACACGUGUUACAAUGGGGGGUACAGAGGGCCGCUACCACGCGAGUGGAUGCCAAUCCCCAAAACCUCUCUCAGUUCGGACUGGAGUCUGCAACCCGACUCCACGAAGCUGGAUUCGCUAGUAAUCGCGCAUCAGCCAUGGCGCGGUGAAUACGUUCCCGGGCCUUGUACACACCGCCCGUCAAGCCAUGGAAGCUGGGGGUG
rnacentral:rRNA from 1 species